GAGAGAUCUGCCAACAGGAGGAGUGGUGACCACCGCGCACUGUGCGGGAAAUGCAGACAGGAGCCUAAGGUUGCUACCCUACCGGAAAUGUUCAUUACUAGGAAUAGAAAACAUUCAGUACAGACCGAAGGAGCCCAGAGCUGGCGGCCAGGUGGCAAGAAAUGUGCUACAAAUGAGAGAAUACACUACAAGCAAAAGGUCCUACCUCUAAGAAGCCGUCUGAUGGGGAGACAGACAUGUUAAUACAUAGAGCUACAAUUACAGAGGUUUUCACAUGAUCAGAUCGCCACUGACAUGGCUCUCGAGGAAGACAGGGUCUCUGGAUCUCAUUUUGAGAAAAACUGCUCUAAGAGGGAAAAUGAUGAAGGAAAACUUUGCAAAGGAUUAAAUGAAUCACUAUGCCCUGGAGCCCUAUGUGUCAGUAAUGCCUGAUGGAAAAGGAAGUCAUACAGAGUUCAAGUGCGUCGCUCAUGCAGCACUUCCACGGUACCUACUCUUUCUACUGCCUGCAACUUUCUGUGGAUUUCAGGGGGAGGA